rnacentral:rRNA from 1 species
AACGAACGCUGGCGGCAUGCCUAACACAUGCAAGUCGAACGGGACCUCCGGGCUUGGUGGCGACUGGGUGCGUGACGCGGGGGAACAUGCCUUUAGGUUCGGAACAACACCUCGAAAGGGGUGCUAAUAACGGGUACUGUUUCCGGAUAAGAGAUUUAUCGCGUUUGGUUGGGGCCGCGUUGGUUUAGUUUGUUGGGAGGGUACAAGCCUGCCAAGGCGACGAUCCAUAGCGGGUCUGAGAGGCUGAUCAGCCACACUGGGACUGAGACACGGCCCAGACUCCUGCGAGAGGCAGCAGUGGUUAAUAUUUGACAAUGAGCGUAAGCCUGAUCCAGCAAUGCCGCGUGAGUGAUGAAGGCCUUAGAGUUGUAUAGCUCUUUUACCCGGGAUGAUUAUGACGGUACCGGGAGAAUAAGCACCGGCUAACUCCGUG